UACGUAGGGUGCAAGCGUUGUCCGGAAUUAUUGGGCGUAAAGAGCUCGUAGGCGGUUUGUCGCGUCUGCUGUGAAAUCCCGAGGCUCAACCUCGGGCUUGCAGUGGGUACGGGCAGACUAGAGUACGGCAGGGGAGACUGGAAUUCCUGGUGUAGCGGUGAAAUGCGCAGAUAUCAGGAGGAACACCGGUGGCGAAGGCGGGUCUCUGGGCCGAAACUGACGCUGAGGAGCGAAAGCGUGGGGAGCGAACAGG
rnacentral:rRNA from 1 species